rnacentral:snRNA from 1 species
AGCUUCGUGCAGUGGCAGUAUGGUAGCCAAUGAGGUUUAUCUGAGGUGCGAUUAUUGCUAACUGUUUACCUCCUUCAAACUAAUUUCCCUCAGAACAUGAAACAAAUGCUGUUUUAGGAAUUGACUUAUCAA